CCUCAUACCUUUGGCAUGGGUACGUCUUUUAUUGGCGUGACAUGAAUGCAAGUAUGAGGUACAUAAAACGACAGCUACAUGCCUUCGGUGUCCACACAACAUUAGUCUGGAUCCCAUCCUCAGAUGCUGUGACAUUU